rnacentral:rRNA from 1 species
UCCAGCUCACAAUAGCGUAUAUUAAAGUUGUUGCAGUUAAAAAGCUCGUAGUUGAACCUUGGGCCUGGCUGGCCGGUCCGCCUCACCGCGUGUACUGGUCCGGCCGGGCCUUUCCUUCUGGGGAUCCUCAUGCCCUUCACUGGGUGUGCUGGGGAACCAGGCCUUUUACUUUGAAAAAAUUAGAGUGUUCAAAGCAGGCCUUUGCUCGAAUAACAUUAGCCUGGAAUAAUAGAAUUGGACGUGCGGUCCUAUUUUGUUGGUUUCUAAGACCCGCCGUAAUGAUUAAUAGGGAUAGUCGGGGGGCAUCAGUAUUCAAUUGUCAGAGGUGAAAUUCUUGGAUUUAUUGAAGACUAACUACUGCGAAAGCAUUUGCCAAGGAUGUUUUCAUUAAUCAGUGAACGAAAGUUAGGGGAUCGAAGACGAUCAGAUACCGUCGUAGUCUUAACCGUAAACUAUGCCGACUAGGGAUCGGGCGAUGUUAUUCUUUUGACUCGCUCGGCACCUUACGAGAAAUCAAAGUCUUGGGGUUCGG